AUUAGCUAGCUAACAUGCUAGCGUUAGCUUAGCUAACUACUUACUGAAGUUACAACCCUUUUAGAGAAGUAAUUUAAUCAUUUUUAUUGCGUUAUAUUGUGACCAAGGUGCAGGAAUUUACCUGAGAACAGUUGGAAUUAGCAACUAUUAUUCUCAUAUUGGCCGUAGUCAGCUAAUUAUCUAGCUAGCUAACCAUAUUGUUCGGCUAGGAUACCAGAAGCUAGAUAUCAUUUUAGCACCAUGCUAACUAGCUUGCUGCUGUAACUUACAGCACUGGAGUAACUAGCUAGCACCAGGGUGGGUAGUUAUUUUACAGCACCAGGGUGGUAGGUGGGUAGCUAGCUGUACAGCAACAGGGUGGUAGGUAGGUAGGUAGCUAGCUGUACAGCACCAGGGUGGUAGGUAGCUAGCUAGCUGUACAGCACCAGGGUGGUAGGUAGCUAGCUAUCUAGUUGUACAGCACCAGGGUGGGUAGUUAUUUUACAGCACCAUGGUGGUAGGUAGGUAGCUAGCUGUACAGCACCAGGGUGGUAGGUAGGUAGCUAGCUAGCUGUACAACACCAGGGUGGUAGGUAGGUAGCUAGCUAGCUAGCUAGCUGUACAGCACCAGGGUGGGUAGUUAUUUUACAGCACCAUGGUGGUAGGUAGGUAGCUAGCUGUACAGCACCAGGGUGGUAGGUAGGUAGCUAGCUAGCUAGCUGUACAACACCAGGGUGGUAGGUAGGUAGCUAGCUAGCUGUACAGCACCAGGGUGGGUAGAUAUUUUACAGCACCAGGGUGGUAGGUAGGUAGCUAGAUUCAGCACCAGGGUGGUAAGUAGGUAGCUAGCUGUACAGCACCAGGGUGGGUAGUUAUUUUACAGUACCAGGGUGGUAGGUACUAGCUGUACAGCACCAGGGUGGUAGGUAGGUAGCUAGCUGUACAGCACUAGGGUGGUAGGUACUAGCUGUACAGCA